rnacentral:tRNA from 1 species
GAAAGUAUGGUGUAGUGGUUAUCAGGUCUGCCUCACACGCAGAAGGUCCCCAGUUUGAGCCUGGGUACUAUCA